rnacentral:rRNA from 1 species
GACGAACGCUGGCGGCGUGCUUAACACAUGCAAGUCGAACGGAAAGGCCCGGCUUUUGUGGGGUGCUUGAGUGGCGAACGGGUGAGUAACACGUGAGUAACCUGCCCUUGACUUUGGGAUAACUUCAGGAAACUGGGGCGAAUACCGGAUAGGAGCUCCUGCUGCAUGGGGGGGGUUGGAAAGUUUCGGCGGUUGGGGCUGGACUCGCGGGUUAUCAGCUUGUUGGUGGGGUAGUGGCUUACCAAGGCUUUGAAGGAUAGCCGGCCUGAGAGGGGUACCGGGCACAUUGGGACUGAGAGACGGACCAGACGCCUACGGGCGGCAGCAGUGGGGAAUAUUGCACAAUGGGCGGGAGCCUGAUGCAGCAGCGCCGCGUGCGUGAUGACGGGCUUCGGGGUGUAAACCGCUUUCGCCUGUGACGAAGCGUGAGUGACGGUAAUGGGUAAAGAAGCACCGGCUAACUACGUG